rnacentral:sRNA from 1 species
GCUUUUUCGGGCGCGCCGGUGGGGUAGUUGGCGCGCUCGAGGGAGCGGUCGUCGACUCCUCCGCCGGGGUUCGGCGGUCUAGCCGGCGCGAUUCCCCUAUCGCGUCGGCCUCG